rnacentral:misc_RNA from 1 species
GAUGAAGAACGUAGUGAAAUGCGAUAACUAAUGUGAAUUGCAGAAUUCCGUGAAUCAUCGAGUCUUUGAACGCACAUUGCGCCCCCUGGUAUUCCGGGGGGCAUGCCUGUCCGAGCGUCAUUGCUGCCCAUCAAGCACGGCUUGUGUGUUGGGUCCUCGUCCCCCCCGGGGGACGUGCCCGAAAGGCAGCGGCGGCACCGCGUCCGGUCCUCGAGCGUAUGGGGCUUUGUCACCCGCUCUGCAGGCCCGGCCGGCGCUGGCCAACGCGAAAGCAACCAUUUUUUCUCCAGGUUGACCUCGGAUCAGGUAGGGAUACCCGCUGAACUUAAGCAUAUCAAUAAGCGGAGGA